GACGAACGCUGGCGGCGUGCUUAACACAUGCAAGUCGAACGGAAAGUCCCUGCUGUUGUUGGGUGCUCGAGUGGCGAACGGGUGAGUAACACGUGGGUAACCUUCCCUUGACUGUGUGAUAACUUCAGGAAACUGGGGCUAAUACCGGAUAAGAGCUCCUGCUGCAUGUUGUUGCUUGGAAAGUUUCGGCGGUUUGGGAUGGACGCGCGGCUUAUCAGCUUGUUGGUGGGGUAGUGGCUUACUAAGGCUUCGACGGGUAGCCGGCACGAGAAGUUGACCGGCGACAUUGCUACUGCGAUACGGAGCAGAAGCGUAUGGGAGGCAGCGGUCGAAAAUAUUGCCGAAUGAGGCGGAGCCAGAUGAAGAGGCGCUGCGUGCGUAAAGACGGGUUUUGAGUGGUAAACCGGUGUGGCAUGGGAAGGAGCGUGCGUGACGGUAAUCUGACAGAAAGCAACGGCUAACUACGUG
rnacentral:rRNA from 1 species